rnacentral:lncRNA from 1 species
GCAGACCUCACUACCCUCUGGAUAGCCUUCCGGUUAUGGGCGGAGCAGCUGCCGUACCAGGCGGUGAUACAGCCCGACAGAAUGCUCUCGAUUGUGCAUCUGUGAAAGUUUGUGAGUGUUUUUGGUGACAAGCCAAAUUUCUUCAGCCUCCUGAGGUUGAAGAGGCGCUGCUGCGCCUUCUUCACCACGCUGUCUGUGUGGGUGGACCAUUUCAGUUUGUCCGUGAUGUGUACGCCGAGGAACUUAAAACUCUCCACCCUCUCCACUACGGUCCCGUCAAUGUAGAUAGGGGGCUGCUCCCGCUGCUGUUUCCUGAAGUCCACGAUCAUCUCCUUUGUUUUGUUGACAUUGAGUGAGGUUAUUUUCCUGACACCACACUCGGGAGUUAACCCCCAAGAACUGCUCCCCGGGCACUGAUUAUUUCGAUUAAGGUAACCCCCAGAAACCUCAGGGGUUGGGUUAAAUGUGGAAGACACAUUUUGGUUGAAUGCAUUCAGCUGUGCAACUGACUAAGUAUCCCUUUUCUUUUGUCCGUUUCUUUCUCUCAGAGAUUGCAUCAUUGUUGAAACCUGCUGGUUUGAUUCAUGAAUUUAGCUGGAAAGAAUCUAUAGGCUGGUUCACUGAGCACAACUAAUGAGUCAGAAAAUCCGAUUUUCCAAAGUUAUUUCAGUGUUAGCGUAGAGUCCAGGCGAUCAUUAGCGGUUGUCAGGGAGAGGAGUGAAUAGAGAGGGAGGGGGAAGCAGGGAUCACCAACAGACCGUGUUCUCUCCUGAGACUGUGUUUGCCCUUGCCUCUCACACAGGUGCACUGUACAUCAGCCCCUCCCUCCACCUCCAUCCGCGCCUGAGGUGUGAAAUGAACCCCCCCCACACUCCUAGUCACAGGGGUAACAUCUCUCUGAGACUGAACUCUUUUCUCUCUCUCUCUUUGGUGAACAAUACUCCUGUGAGGAGUAACCCUGACUGAGACCUGAAGGCUUGCUCUAGCUCCACAAGUUAAUAUCCACUGCAACAGCGUGUUAUUUUAACACCAUUUCAGUAGGACUACAAAUAGUGUACAUUUUAUACUUUCAGAGUUAAAUAUUUAACACUUUCAAAAGUGUUAUUUUAACACCAGUCCAGUGGGAGACAAAUGUUCACUGACAAUGUUGUACAUUUUACACUUUCAGAGUUAAAUGUACACUGUUGAUUUUGCUGUACACAGACACACCAUGGAAAAUAUGGAAGGGAGAAGCAGCCUGGCAGUCCUUGGGGGUGGAAAGGAUCUAUUAUAGGAACACUAAGGCCAAAUCCUACAAUCCCUCGCAGUAAUUCAAGUAUCAGAAUCAGAUAUCUGUCUUAUUCUGCCUCCCCAUCUCUCCCCCACUCAUCUUUUCCCAUUAAAUGCAACGUAUUGAUAUAAGAAUUAAUUGGUUGAUGCUCAUCUUUUCCCAUUGAAUGCAAUAUAUUGACAUACGCAUCAAUUGGUUGACACUUCUUUUUCCAUUGAAUGCAAUGUAUUGACAUACGCGUCAACCCUGCACUCUUAGAAUUAGCAGCGACUCGAAGGAAUACUGGAGAUCUUCAAGGAACCAUUGUUAGUCAAUGGUUCAUAUUUGCACCUGUGGUUAGUUGAGGUGUUCUUGGAGGAACCUUUAACCUUUUACUGCAGGGGCUAAAUCCGGGUCACACAGUGUGUUUCUUGGUAGUCUUAAACCAAUCUACUUUGAAACAAAAGUAUACACCUCACACACAUUGUUAUGGGCUUAAAGAAAGAAGACACAUGUCCCAUGUCAGAUAUAUAAUUGAAAUGUAUUCAAUUUUCAGUUUCUAUCCCAAUAUUAUACUUGAUAUACAUCACAGAAGACUGAAAUAUAGCAAAUCCGUUUGACAUAGAAACACCGGAUUUUCGGCUUGUUUUUUGAAAUAAUGUUUAUUAAUUAUGAAGUUAUGAAAAAUAUUAAUAACAUUCCACCCCUGAGGCCAUUAGGUCAUUUGACUGCAGGAAAUGGCUACUGGUUCAAUGUAGCAACAGGUUCCUCUGGAGUGGAGGUGUGGCUUAGUAGGGGCGUGGCUUCAAGAUAUAUAUUUUUUGGGGCAGCUGUUAAAGUAAAUGUCAUUCCUGUUCAUUGUAUUGUCAUCAUCUGUUCUGUUGUAUUGUCGUCACAUGUUAACGUGGCUAACAGAGGCGUUUGAGUUCCUCAAGAGCCUAUGCAAAUCCAACAUUUAUAAAAGUUACCACUUUAUUACCAUGUGAUCAGCAAUGUUAAUAUUAUUACUAUCACAUUAGAAUAUGUAAUAUGCAUAAAUAUUCAAGGAAUUUGCCAUGUACAAACUUAACAUGAUGAACAAGAAGGACAUUUAUGGUAACGCAUGACC